UACGUAGGGUGCAAGCGUUAAUCGGAAUUACUGGGCGUAAAGCGUGCGCAGGCGGCUUUGCAAGACAGAUGUGAAAUCCCCGGGCUCAACCUGGGAACUGCAUUUGUGACUGCAUGGCUGGAGUGCGGCAGAGGGGGAUGGAAUUCCGCGUGUAGCAGUGAAAUGCGUAGAUAUGCGGAGGAACACCGAUGGCGAAGGCAAUCCCCUGGGCCUGCACUGACGCUCAUGCACGAAAGCGUGGGGAGCAAACGGG
rnacentral:rRNA from 1 species